GAUGAACGCUGGCGGCGUGCCUAAUACAUGCAAGUCGAGCGAAAGGACGAGACGCUUGCUUCUCUCAUGUUAGCGGAGGACGUGUGAGUCACACGUGGAUAACCUCCCUAUCAUUCUGGGAUCACUUCGGGAAACCGGAGCUAAUCCCGGAUAAUCUCUUGAUCCGCAUGGUUCAAUAGUGAAAGACGGUCUUGCUGUCACUUAUAGAUGGAUCCGCGCUGCAUUAGCUAGUUGGUAAGGUAACGGCUUACCAAGGCAACGAUGCCUGUACGACCUGUGAGAGGGGUCGCCGACACUGGAAGUGGGACACGGUCCUGACGCCUGCGAGAGGCAGCAGUAGGGAAUCGUCCGCAGGAGGGGGGAGCCUGACGGAACAACACGGAGUGAGUUAUGGAAGUCUUCGGAGCGGAAAACUCUGUUAUGGGGGAAGAACAUAUGUGGAAGGAGCUGUGCACUGCGUGACGGUAACUAAUCAAAAAGCCACGGCUAACUACGUG
rnacentral:rRNA from 1 species